ACUCCUACGGGUGGCAGCAGCAGGGAAUCUUGGGCAAUGGGCGAAAGCCUGACCCAGCGACGUCGCGUGGGGGACGAAGGCCUUAGGGUUGUAAACCCCUUUUCCGAGGGAAGAUACGGGACGGUACCUCGGGAAUAAGCCCCGGCUAACUACGUGCCAGCAGCCGCGGUAAUACGUAGGGGGCAAGCGUUACCCGGAAUCACUGGGCGUAAAGUGCGCGUAGGCGGUUGGAUAAGUCUCUUGUGAAAGCUCCCGGCUCAACUGGGAGAGGUCAAGGGAUACUAUUCGACUUGAGGACAGCAGAGGUAAGCAGAAUUCCCGGUGUAGCGGUGGAAUGCGUAGAUAUCGGGAGGAACACCAGUGGCGAAAGCGGCUUACUGGGCUGUAUCUGACGCUGAGGCGCGAGAGCGUGGGGAGCAAACUGGAUUAGAUACCCAGGUAGUCCACGCCCUAAACGAUGGAUACUAGGUAUGGGGGGUAUUGACCCCCUCCGUGCCGCAGCUAACGCAAUAAGUAUCCCGCCUGAGGAGUACGGCCGCAAGGCUAAAACUCAAAGGAAUUGACGGGGACCCGCACAAGCAGCGGAUCGUGCGGUUUAAUUCGAUGAUAAGCGAAGAACCUUACCAGGGCUUGAAAUGCAUCUGACAGGCUGGGAAACCAGCUUUUCCUUCGGGACAGUUGCACAGAUGUUGCAUGGCUGUCGUCAGCUCGUGUCGUGAGAU
rnacentral:rRNA from 1 species